rnacentral:lncRNA from 1 species
CCUGGCCUCACUUGAACUCAGCAUAGAGAAGUGCGGAGUGCUCAGCAAAUUCUGAAGAAUAAUUCAGUAUUGAUUAUCCAUCUUCCCACUGAACUUCUGGAGGUGGAGGCUUUGGGUUGCCGUUCCCAGUGCUGCAGCACAGGACUGCUUUGUGCAGCUGCAGCAUCUGGGUGAGCCCAUCUAUGGGCAGAGUGGCAAAGAUGCUGCUGGGCUUUCUCCUUCUCUUUUUUCCUCUUGCAUUGCAGAACAAAAAUUGGAUUUUCUUGCAUGGCAGAACAAAAACUGAAGCGCACUCAUUAGUGAACCACACUACAUUUGGUCAGGGUGAGCAGUAAGGAGGGGAAAAAAAAUGGAAAUGAACUCAGCUGCAAAUGAUGUAUUCAGAACUUGUUCUCUAUUGGUGAUGGAUGAGCAGCCCCUCCUGGCUGGGAGGUGGGCCUCUGCAGCAGUGUCUGAUGGAGGGCAUUUUUCUGUCCCCUUCUCUCUGCUCUCCCUGCCAGGCAGUCAGACCUAUUGACCAGCAGCUGCGUUUGUUUUUCUACGGCUGUUGGGAUUAUAGCAGUGCUCUCAGUGGAACCAAACCUCUGGGGCUGCAGGUGGUAGGGCCUCUGCUCCUGGGCUUCUUGGGGAGGGUGAGUGUCUCACGUGGGGUUCCACAACACCGAAUACAAGGCGACCCUGCUGGGACUGCUGGUAAAGACAAAUGGGCCCUACAAGCAGCAGCAGCAGUGCUGUAUAUUUGGACUUGCAGAUGGAAGUGGGGAGAAAUGGGUCGCGUAGCCGGGGUCACUGAGCCCUCCAGUGCUGUGUUCUGAAAUAAGGGCAGGAAAAUGCCUUCGCUCUGAAGGUGCUGCUGUUUUGCUGGUGCUUUGCUCUGGUGGCCAAGCUGGAGCAGCUUUGAGAUAGGACUGUGUCUGGACUGCCCAAAUGUUUACGUGUGACUGCUGGCUUCUGGUAGCUGGUUCAGUUGUGCACACCCACAGGCAGAGGAUUUACUGCCAAAGCUGCCCGUCCCGAUAAACACCCAUCCUUGACCUGCAGCCCAAUAAGGCCCCAGGAAGCAGCUCACCCUGGCUGAUAAAACCAUCCAAGCUGCUGCUCCAGCCCUGUGCAUGUGGGUACAGCCGGGACAACAUCUGCCUCUGUUGCGUGCUGCAUUGAGCUCAUACCUGGGCACUCUGCGUUGCUUCUCCCAUCCCAGCCAAAACAAAUGCAAUCUGCUCUCGUGUAUGCUGCAAGAGCCCUGCCAGGAACAAAGAGGAACUCAAAUAUUUGUGCUCAGUUGUUGCUCUUUCCAUUCAGGCAAUAAGUGCCAACUGCUGCAGAGCCUGGCAGUGUGGGAUUUCCGCUGGGCUGGCUCUGGCUUCACAGCCCUGCCGAGAUGAAACACCUACAAUUAACAGCUGGGCUCUAAGCUGGGGAAGAUGACUGAGGGUGAUUGAAAUCUGGCCUUCAAAACAAAACAAAAAGCCUGCGUCAAAUGGAGAACGUGUGUUCUUUGUGCACAGCUUCCUGCAACAUAGUGUUGUCACCAUGAAUGCUGGAGCUGUGUUACUGCCUGGGCUGCUAGCUGUCUGUCUGUGCACAAAUACCUCAGAACUCCUGGAGAGAGGGGGAAAAAACAUCAAUUCAAACUGCCUUUCGUUGGAAAGCCCCACACUCAAAGCUGUGUGGAGGGCUGAGAUUCUCCAGGUGUGGAGCUAUUAUAUGGAUGAGAUGUUUGCAGAGUAAUUACAUAAUGAGCUUCAGAUCUCAGCUGCUUGGUCCCAGGGAAGCUGCUGUGCUUCAGCACUUGGUAGGGCCAGGGAUAGGGCAGUGAAAGGACCGAGUGUGAGCUCAGCAACGAAGCUGUGCUGCUGAUGUCAGUGGGCCCCUUCAAAGCUGAGGGGAUAAAGGAGGGACAGGCAUACCCAGCACCAGGAGUUCACGUGCCAUUCUGCCAGAAUGGAGUUUGGAGAGUCCUGGGAAAGCCCACAUUGCCUCAGUGGGUUGGUCCAGGAGCAGGAUGCUGUAACACGGAUGGUGGAUGCUUCUGCCCUGGAACCUCACCUGGACCCUUUCUGAGUGACAUGCUGAUGGUACGUGGGCUGUAAAAUAAACUGUGAGUCCUUCCACAUUUCUUCUUGGUUGUUUUGGGUGGGGUUUUUUUGUAUGCAAUCAGUUUUUGCAAGUUCUUGUGCAAGUGAUGCAGUCUGGGGUAAGGCUUGGGCUCUGUGUGGUUGGCACGGGCUGGUCACUGAGGUCUGGACAUCUCCGUGUGCUCUUGUGUGUGAAUUCUACCUUUUUCCAUUCCCCUUUCUCGAUAGGGCUUUGGAUGCUCUGUUAUGCUCAGAGCACCAUAUUGCUGCCAGCCCUCACUCACUGCAGUCUGGAGCUGAGUAACCUCCUUUCCUUGACAAAUUCUGAUUGCCUUCUCCAGUUAAUGUGGGAUUUUUCCAUUAGCCCCACAAUUCCCUUUUUUCACUCAGAAAUUUCUUAUCAGGAAUUCAUUAGCCCUGAAAUGUGAAGGACUGACUCUUCAGUCUUAACCACCUUUUAUAAUUACCUCCUCUCUGAGCUGUACUUGGAAAGAUGUCUCCUGAGUUCCAUUUUACACAGCGUGCAGCACUCCCCUUAUUUCUGUAUUAUGGCAUAAAAUUAAAUCAUCUCUACUUCAGCUGACUGAAAAGCUACUAGAAACUUCAAGAGCUUCAGGAAAAAAAACUACUGUCAGAGAUGAGGCUUCUUCUGGCUUGUUUUUUAGUUGCACACAUUGCACACAGCAGAUGAGAAGCGCUGUUUGCCUGCUUCAGUAGCUGUCUGCACUUCCAAAAAGGAUGGGUUUUGGCAGCUCCUUGAGCUCCCUGCUUCUUCCUGAGGUCACUGCUGAGGUGGUAUCCUCACAAAGCACUGUCCUGGCAGAGCAGCGUGCCUAGCAGGGCUGCAAGAAAUGCAUGUACAAAAGUGUAGAUAUUCCAAGCAGAGUGUAAAGGUGGAUCGAUUCUAUAGGGUCCACAUUAGAAAUGCUAAAGCUCAGUAUGUCAGCUUGGCCUGACCUCGCUGUUUGCUGACACUUGAGGAGGCAGCAGAAGUUAAAUCCCUCAUGUUCCUGGAGCUCCUGCGCUGCCAGUGGGUUGAGGUCAAAGGAACGAGUGCAGGGAGAGAACUGUGGCAAACAGCUUUCCUUUUUCAACAGGACACAAACCCUUCGCAGGGUUAUGCAUACAUCAUUGUCUGGUAAGGAGCAAUUGACUGAUAACAGCUCCUGCAGCCAGCACUGGGCGUACCAUUGGGAACUUCCUGGAAAACACCUGUACACAGCAAACCUGUUACAAUGAGCUGGCUGAUAAGGGGUAUUGCACUUCAAUGGAGUUAGCUCGUGAACGUGGGAGAGGCCUUGGUUUCUUGAACAACAGUAAGAAAGGGCAGAUGUUAUGUAAGUCAGCCGUGCGUAGCCACUCACUGUGUGCAGUACAGAACUGGAGUAAUGCUGCCUUUCAUUGCAGCACACAGUGAAUCUGGAACAUCCUCACUAUUUAUCUUUCUCUGAAGCUGUUUGCAUCUUGUCCCCUGCCAGAGGUGAGCAGGAAGGUAUCUCAGCAGCCCAGUGGUUCUUCAUUCCCACUAUCAAAAUAGCCUAAUGUUGGCAAGUUAAAAGCUGAAGAGCUGGCAAGAAUUUGCUACAGAAGAGCAGUGAAGGGCCAGCCCAAACCCAGCAUGCGUGUGCUACUCAGGACCUGCUGACCCCUGCUACUGGCAGGGAUGCGAAGGAAUUCACUGCUGCCAUGCAUAGUGAUGCCUUUAUGUGGGCAAAGCUGUGCUGACAGGGGGAGCUGAGACGUUUCCUGUGUGAUGCAGACAGACAUGUGCCUCUUCUGUGCCACGAGAGAUCUGGCUAAAUUAGCACGGGGAGGGCAUCUCGUUUGUCAUGCAACAACAGAUCAUCUGUGAUUCAAAUAAGAGUAUGCUUAUGUUGUUAAAAUGGCAUCAUUUGCUGCAGGGUGUAUUUGUCUAACUGAAUCCAACCACAGAGAAUUUCUCUAAUCAAAUGAGGUCGGUUUGACAUGGGUGGCUCUGUGGGCUGCAGCUCAUGCUCAGUGCCAUGUUGACUCUCAGGGGCUGUUGAUGGCUCUAUUUUGAUUGUUCCUGUUUGUUUUUCUGUUUUACCCUAAAUGCUGUUGGGGCAUCCUAAUUGCAUAUAGAGGGACGCUGCAGCUCACUCUAAGAAGAAUUGCAUUGCCCAUCUAGAAAGAUGCAAUCCUUCCAGCUCCCAUCCACAUGCAAUGGCUGGCAUGAGACACGCACACAGGAGAGAACAUGAGCGUGCACCUUGCUCUGGCUGCUCUCCCUGCUCGUGCCUAAUGGCUUGCUCUGCGUCAGCAUCACGGGGAUACUGCUUCUGUGCCUUAUGCAACAGCUGUACCCAUACAUGUAGCAGCACAUUUCUUAGCAUGGCCUAAUUUGAUGUCCCAUGACACAUUAAACUGAUGUCACAGUGGCUGCACAGCUUUCAAGUUGAUUCUGUUCCUAAGCACACAGACUGGCAAUAAGUGGGUCCUCUGCUGGCACAAGUAGGUGCAGUUGGCUUUAUUGCUUCUGGAUGAGGUUUGUACACAAGUGAGAUGGGACAUUCUCUGGCUCCUGCUCUCAGCAGGGCAGCCUGCACAGUGGGAAAGGUCUCAUAUGAAAGCGUGUGAUCUGGGGUCUGUGAAGUGCUUGGAGGUUAUUUCAUGAAAGGUGUUAUGUUAGUUUAAAAGAUGGUCUGUUUACAGAAAAAAUCUCAUUUUCAAUAUAAUCUCUGCGAUCUGAAGGAAGUUAUGACAAAUCCUCAUCUUAUAAACUACAGGAUGAUGUCAUCAUCAAAAAAUAAACAAGUUCUCUUCUACCAAAGAGUUCCAGUGUUCCCCUCUUUCUCCUUGAUGCCACUUAUACAGGGCACUUUUGCCUUCUUUUCUCCUGUAUCCUUAUUUUCUUCUCCAGGAUCUGUAUCUCUAUUAAUAUCUAGCAUUGUUGGAAUGGCGCAAAGUGUAAUUACUUGAACCAAAUGGGUUGUGAUGUUUUAAAUGCGAAAUGUUUGUGUUGCUCUCUGGACUUGGGUAUAUAUUUAUUAUGGUUGCAGAACAGAGUUUCAAAUAAGCCAUCAGGAUCCCAGAUACGUUAAGGGUUAGGUUGAGACUGAACACCAAAUUAAAGAUGACAGAGCUCUUUCUACCCCCUGUGAAUCCCCCAGUGGACACGCUUUCCCUUGCUGAUCCCGUCAUGCUCUUCUGGAUUGAUGUCUGCUCAGCAACCAGCAUCCCAGGUGCUUCUAUGGCCUCUGCUAUGCAGUCUGGAAGCAUUUCCAAACUCCUGGGUGCAGUCAGACUGCCCUUCCAUGCUCUGUGCACAGGGUCAGCUCUGCAGCGGGCUGUUCCUGCUACAGAGUUCAGCAAGUGUACAGUGUUGUGGCAGAAGGAAGGCAAGCUAACCUUGGUUACGGUACUUCUCAUGUGGUUCAUUUAAGGCUACUUUCUGGUUUUAUCUCUUCAUUUUGUUAUUUGCAGUGAAAUAAAGGAGAAC